UCGGUAUCUGUAAAAAAAAUAACGCAGAUAUCCUAAGGCCAACUCAGCGAGGACGGAAACCUCGCGUAGAGCAAAAGGGAAAAUGCUGGCUUGAUCCCGGACGCUCAGUACGCGUAGAUACUGCGAAAGCAUCGGCCUCUCGUCCGCUGAAAAGUUUUCAGCGAGAG
rnacentral:rRNA from 14 species